AUCAACUUCUUUGCGGUGAGAUCAAAGAUCAUCUGAUAAAAAUGUGUGAUACCAACAUGUUAGCGACAAGGAUUAUAACUGAAACAGAAAAGUUAUUUCGACUUGAGGAAGCAUCUUCUUGAGACCAUCAUGGCCAAAGAGAGUCAAGACCAUGCUUUUAAGGGAGGGAUGUCUGAAGUUGGGUUUGGCUUGAAGAACUGGAUAGUCUCCCCGAGUAAUGGGAAACCCAUGGAACCAGGUGGAAGCUUCCCUC